GAAGGUGUAGCCCAGUGGUAGAGUGCAUUGUUUGCAUGUAUGAGGCCCCGGGUUCGAACCCCAGCACUUCCA
rnacentral:tRNA from 1 species